rnacentral:sRNA from 1 species
GUGCCAGCCAUGAAAGUUGAGGUUUCUUGUUUGCACACAGGACAGUUACAGCAUGGGCAGCAGCAGUACAAGCCUCCCCACGCCAGUGCUUCUGGGUGGGGGGACCCCACUAGGGGGAGGAGGGGAGUUCAGAUUCCAUUGGCCUUUCCAUUGACUGCUUGG